rnacentral:rRNA from 1 species
UACGAAGGGGGCUAGCGUUGCUCGGAAUCACUGGGCGUAAAGCGCACGUAGGCGGCUUCUUAAGUCAGGGGUGAAAUCCUGGAGCUCAACUCCAGAACUGCCUUUGAUACUGAGGAGCUUGAGUCCGGGAGAGGUGAGUGGAACUGCGAGUGUAGAGGUGAAAUUCGUAGAUAUUCGCAAGAACACCAGUGGCGAAGGCGGCUCUCUGGGCCUUUCCUGACGCUGAGACGCGAAAAGCGUGGGGAGCGAACCGG